rnacentral:rRNA from 1 species
CAGUAGCCGCGGUAAUACGAAGGGGGCUAGCGUUGUUCGGAAUUACUGGGCGUAAAGCGCACGUAGGCGGACAUUUAAGUCAGGGGUGAAAUCCCGGGGCUCAACCCCGGAACUGCCUUUGAUACUGGGUGUCUAGAGUAUGGAAGAGGUGAGUGGAAUUCCGAGUGUAGAGGUGAAAUUCGUAGAUAUUCGGAGGAACACCAGUGGCGAAGGCGGCUCACUGGUCCAUUACUGACGCUGAGGUGCGAAAGCGUGGGGAGCAAACAGGAUUAGAGACCCCAGUAGUCCCUGUCUCUUAUAA